rnacentral:rRNA from 1 species
UACGGAGGGUGCAAGCGUUAUCCGGAUUCACUGGGUUUAAAGGGUGCGUAGGCGGGCAGGUAAGUCCGUGGUGAAAUCUCUGAGCUUAACUCAGAAACUGCCAUGGAUACUAUUUGUCUUGAAUAUUGUGGAGGUAAGCGGAAUAUGUCAUGUAGCGGUGAAAUGCUUAGAUAUGACAUAGAACACCAAUUGCGAAGGCAGCUUACUACACAGUUAUUGACGCUGAGGCACGAAAGCGUGGGGAUCAAACAGGAUUAGAUACCCCAUAGUCC